AUGAUUAUGAGACCUCCCCAACCAUGUGGAACUAGUCACUGUGGAUCAGAAGUACAGGCUCACUUUUACUGGAUCAUCGGCUCAAACUCACAAGGAUGAGAACAUUAAGGCACUUUUGAAACGGCCUCCGAUGGGAAGGUGAGAUCAGAAAUACGCCUGUGGAACCCUCUACAUGCGGAUCUGGCAAGUAUUCAACACAAACGCAAUUAGAGGGCUUACCCUUGCAUGAAAUAUUUGCUUUCCUGAUAGUCACCAACUUUAAACUUUAGGAAUGCCAAGGCAUAGUGUUUCUGUAUCAGAACUGGAAUCCUCUACUUCAUUUUCUUCAGUUAUUAUUUUUGAAGUUUGCAUAUAGUAUUAAAGUCCCACCAAACAAUAAAUGGGAAAGGAUGAUUUUAUUAAAAAUCCUCUUGAGACAACUGCACCUGCCCUGGCUAUUCUUUGACCAGGGUCAGAGAAGUUGCAGCAUGCACACUCACCCAGAGGUACUUGAGAGCAUUGUUGAUGUAUUCAAUGAAUAUUGAAUGCUAGAGUGAAUCUACACUGGGCUUAGAUCAGCAUAAAUCUCCACAGCUCACCUUCAGUGGUGGACACAGACAACUAAACAGGAAAUUCCAAAAUCAUUCAUAAAAGAACCUGAUCUUCUGUACCCCUCCCUCUCCCAAAGUUGCCACAAAUAAAGGAAAACUAAAUAAGAAUAUUUGUUUUACUUUGAGCAAGAUGAAAAUAUUUCAAAGGCACACAUUUGGUCAGCUCAUUGAUUCUUAUAAAGAAAUAUCUAUAUAUACCAUGUAUUAUAUAGUUAAGUAUUUAAGUUCUGAAACCCGAAGAAAGUUGUAACUGUUUUUUUUUUUUUUCUUUCACCCUAAAUAAGUUAAAAAUGACUGUAGUGUUAUAUAGUCAUUGAGGUCAGUCAACAUUUUUUAUUCUGUUUGGAACUUAAUUGUUGUAGCCUAUUCCUGCUGCUGUAAUAAAAUACCACAGACUGGGUAAUUUCUAAACAAUAGAAAUGUAU